rnacentral:lncRNA from 1 species
AUGAAAGUCGUGGCGUCCCUCGCUCCCUUUGUCAACUUCCUGCCUCUUGCUGACAGAAUCUACGUGGAAAUGCGUGACGCCGGUGGAGCAGCGCGGGCGGUGGAGACUCAGCCGAAGUGCCGUUUGUCUCAGAGCAAACUUUGGAAGAAAGUUCUGAACAUUCGACUCGUGACAAGCAUCCAGAAAGCACGUCCAGAAGACGGGAAUCUCCCUAUCUCCGCUCCUGAACUGGACUCCACAGCAGGGGGUGCUGUUGCAGAAACAGCUGGAAUGGAUCAGCUAGCAGACGGUGCCGAAACCCAGCCAGGGCUGGUGUCUGAUGAGGAAGACGUUGACGCUUCUUUCCUUCUGCCAGAUUACUUUGAGAUCUUAGAUUCAUUUGAUAAUCAGACUCAAACCAAAGGCUUCAAAGACGAGCUCUCCAAAAGCCGUGAUGGACCAGUUCGGGAAGAUUCAAAUCCAGAACAAGCAGCCGAUUCUGUAAAAGUACAGGAAGAGCGGGAGCCUGAUGAGGUUAAAGGAGGAACCAGAGAAGACGAUGGAUCCACCAGGAGGAGCGAAUCACCCAAAAACCAAAUGCGUCAAAGCUCUGAGGCACGUGGAGAGGAUGGAGCUACAGGAGAAAGGGCGGAGUUAACUGAAGAUUCUGUUCCAGGAGACACAGAAACCAGAGCAAACAUCGACAAAGGCAACAAGGAAGACUCGUUGAAGUUGGAGGUGAUGCCGGCUCUGAACAAACAGGAGGGAGACGAGCGGGACAACAAGAGCGCCGAGAGAAGUUUAACGCCUAAAGGUGACGAUGACGAGGAUUUCAGUUUAUUUAUGAUUCAUCCGUUGUUGGUCGCCUGUCCAGUUGUGCCAAGUCAGCGCACUUCCACACGUCCCGUUGGGAGACCAAAGUUUCCUUUCACAACAUGA